UUUCUGUGACAUGUUUUCAUGGUGUGGGAAUAAGACUUGGUGGUCUAAUACAGCUAAUAUGUAGGUUAGCUUCACAGCUUGUCUGUAAGGAUUGAGGCUUGGAAUGGUCAUUGGAGCUGAAAUUUAUGGUAACUUUUACUGUGGCUGCAUAAAAUGACUGUGUAAUAUCACUGUAACAGUGAAAAAUGUAAAAUAGACAAUUUUUGUGUAUGCUUGAAAAAAUGUUUAUAAUUUUUUACAAAAAAUUAAAAAAAAAAAAAAAAAUUGUGUAAAGAUUCUCCAUUUUCAACAAGAUUGGAAGUUGUAGGUUAACUUGUAUUUGAAAUUCAAAAUUUCAUUUUCUUUUUUCCAUUGAAGCCCUAUGGCAAUAUUUUGGUAGCUCUUCUCAAGUCAAUUAUUGCCUUGACAUAUUAUUUUUCAUUCUUUUUUUUUAAAUGAAGUGGAACGGACUAAUUUUACUUGAAGACCUACUUAAGAAAUAUUAAUAAUGGUCUGUGUCUAGUCAAAACACUUCCAGUAGGUUAAGAAUGGAGAAUCUAAAAAAAAAAAAAAAAAAAGAAAGAAAAGAAAAAGAAACAAAUGUCAUUUUAUUGAAAUGUAGUUUUUGGUUUCCAGAUUUGUUAGAUAUAUGUCUGUUCCAACUUUUUUUUAUUUUUAGCUUAAUUGCUAACAACUUUUAAGAAUAUCUUACAAGUAGCAUAGUUGAAGAACAUCUUGAUGAAAAUAGAUUGAUUUUAGUGUUUAACCCCGCUUUCAUCAUGAUUGGUUGCCAGUUUUUAUAAGUGAAGGAAGCCAGAGUGCAUAAAGAAAACUGGACAGAAAAACAGGAAAUCCCAGUCAAUUAAGAUUGGAGUUGAACACAAAGUGAAAAUUAAAAUACUAAAUGUUUUGAAAUGUGUUGGGAUUUUUGUUAUUAAAUUUCUAAUUUUUGUGGUACUAUAUUUUGUAUUUUUGUUAAAUAUAGCAAAAAUGUGGAGUCCCAACAGGGUGAAAUUUAUAGUAAAGGGAGGUAAUACCCCUGUUUAACUCUACAUACUUGAAAUUUUCUCAAUGAUAGGGAAUAUAAAUUUUUAUUUAAUACUUAAAUAUUCAUAUUUGUAAAAGUUUUUUUUUUUUUUUUAAAUAUCAGAUGUUUACUUGCUAAAAUUAACUAUUAUUUAGAGCUCUGUAAAUAAAAAAAAUGUAAGCAGAGCUCUAGAUAAUAGAUACAUAGGGUGGGUGAAAUCAUGGGUCACUAAAGUGAUUUGGUAAAAUUUUCAAAAAAGGGGAUUGUUUGAAAGUGCAUCUGACAUUUUUAACUUUUAUUUUUGUAAAUACAAAUGGAAAAAAAAUAGAUUGACAAUAAGAAAAUGAGGACAGCCUCCUUGGCAGUCAGAAGAGCAGCUCCAUGCAAGAUGGUCAAUUAAAUCUUCAACCAAGUCUGAGGCUUUAGCAAGAAAAAUAUGAGGUGGUUGUAAUGACAAGGUUUUCAUGGUGUUGGGAGUAAGACUUGGAUAUCUGACACUGUUAACAUGUUGGUUAGCAUAUCAGCGUUUCCAUAGGGUUACUUACUGGGAUAGUUAUUAGAGCUGUUUUAAGUUGAUUGUUACUGUUGCUGCCUUGUAUGGUAAAAUCCUCAGACAAUAAUCCUGAAACCAUUGGAUGAACUGUUCCAAUAUUUUUUAGUAGAAUCUGUAAACAGUAGUUUUAUAAGCAGAAGAAUGAAUUGUUAACAAAUUUAGUUUUUAAUGCUGUAUCAAUUUAUCUAAAGUCCAAAUUAUAAAUAUUUUUUUCCUUAUUUAAGCUGUGAAAUUAUUGUUAUUUGAGGGGUCUCAAAAGUAUGCCAUAUGGUUUCACGAAAUACCCAUAAGACUCAUCAGUUUACAUA